GAUGAAGAACGUAGCAAAAUGCGAUACUUGGUGUGAAUUGCAGAAUCCCGUGAACCAUCGAGUCUUUGAACGCAAGUUGCGCCCGAAGCCAUUAGGCCGAGGGCACGCCUGCCUGGGCGUCACACGUCGUUGCCCCCCCAUCUACUCCUUCGGGAUUGCGGGGGGCGGAUGAUGGCCUCUCGCGCGCCUCGUCGCGCGGUUGGCCUAAAUGCCAAGUCCUCGGCGACGCACGCCACGACAAUCGGUGGUUGCGAAACCUCGGUUGCCUGUCGUGUGCGGUCGUCGCGCAUCGAGGGCUCGAAAAAAUUGCCGGGCUUCGGCUCGACUUUCAACGCGACCCCAGGUCAGGCGGGGUUACCCGCUGAAUUUAAGCAUAUCAAUAAGCGGAGGA
rnacentral:misc_RNA from 1 species